CGCGGCCUAUCAGCUUGUUGGUGGGGUGACGGCCUACCAAGGCGACGACGGGUAGCCGGCCUGAGAGGGUGUCCGGCCACACUGGGACUGAGAUACGGCCCAGACUCCUACGGGAGGCAGCAGUGGGGAAUAUUGCACAAUGGGCGCAAGCCUGAUGCAGCGACGCCGCGUGGGGGAUGACGGCCUUCGGGUUGUAAACCUCUUUCACCAUCGACGAAGGUCCGGGUUUUCUCGGAUUGACGGUGGGUGGAGAAGAAGCACCGGCCAACUACGUGCCAGCAGCCGCGGUAAUACGUAGGGUGCGAGCGUUGUCCGGAAUUACUGGGCGUAAAGAGCUCGUAGGUGGUUUGUCGCGUUGUUCGUGAAAUCUCACGGCUUAACUGUGAGCGUGCGGGCGAUACGGGCAGACUGGAGUACUGCAGGGGAGACUGGAAUUCCUGGUGUAGCGGUGGAAUGCGCAGAUAUCAGGAGGAACACCGGUGGCGAAGGCGGGUCUCUGGGCAGUAACUGACGCUGAGGAGCGAAAGCGUGGGGAGCGAACAGGAUUAGAUACCCUGGUAGUCCACGCCGUAAACGGUGGGUACUAGGUGUGGGUUUCCUUCCUUGGAAUCCGUGCCGUAGCUAACGCAUUAAGUACCCCGCC
rnacentral:rRNA from 1 species